rnacentral:rRNA from 1 species
GACGUAGGAGGCGAGCGUUAUCCGGAUUCACUGGGCGUAAAGCGCAUGUAGGCGGUUGGACAAGUCGUGUGUUAAAGCCCCUGGCUCAACUGGGGGAGGUCAUGCGAGACUGUGCGACUUGAGGGCAAGAGAGGCACGUGGAACUCCCGGUGUAGCGGUGGAAUGCGUAGAGAUGUGGAGGAACACCGAUGGCGAAGGCAGCCCCCUGGGUCAAGAUUGACGCUCAUGCACGAAAGCGUGGGGAGCAAACAGG